CUCUUUAGUGUUUUGUUCCAAGGAAACCUCAGAGUGUUUUCAGCUUUCACCAAUUCUCCUCCUCCUCUUUUUUUCUUUACUGAAAUUUCAGAAUUUAUAACUUGAUUGUGGGCUCAAAUGAGAGAGGUCCAAGUCCAAGAUUUUUCUGUUAUAUUUUUUUUUCUCUUUUUUGUUUUUUUUUUCGUUUUUUUUUCCGUUUUU
rnacentral:lncRNA from 1 species